UAUAAAGCUUAAGCGUCAACAAGGGGGCAGUUGUGGCUAAAAGUAACACAACCCUUACUGCUUACAAGAAACAGAGCUAGUUAUUAAAGGAAGAUGAAGAUAUAGGCUCUUCUAUCAUUCAAUUAGCUACUUAUCCCUGUAUCAGUGGAAUGCCAUUGCGCUAAACAAUGACCUAAUAGUGGAAAAUAUACAAUGUUUAUUGAAGUUCCCAUUCCUAUGCCUCUUAUAUUUGCAAGGAUAAGGAUAAGCGCAAGAAUAAGGAAUUACCGAUGGCAGCACCACCAUAACUGGAAAAAGGGAAGAUUUUAGAAGAGAUUAAAAAAUUCAAACUUUGAGUGAUGAGCUACAAGGAGGAUUAGAAUCAUAAUCAACAGGAUGACUUAUUGACUUCGGCAGCUAAAGACAUGGAAUUAUCAAAGACUUCAGAUAUGGAACUUCUUGUAUUUCGAUAUGAUUUAGUUUGUCUACAAUAUACCACCUGAGCUAAUGUAAGUGUACUAGAUUAUUUUGGGGGUGGUAACACUUGCACAGUCUACCCUGGUUUAUAAUGCAUUUUUCUCAAUUUUAAUGAUAAUUCUAUUGGAAUUGUGUUACUGUUUAUGGGCACGUGAGAGUGAGUAGCGGCAUAGGCAAAGCCAACCCACUUUUG